rnacentral:rRNA from 1 species
GUUGGAUGGGAUAAGUCAGAUGCAGAACGCCGCGUGGAGGAUGCACAUUUCGGUGCGUAAACUCCUUUUAUAUGAGAAGAUAAUGACGGUAUUAUAUGAAUAAACCGGCUAACUCCGUGCCAGCAGCCGCGGUAAUAUGCCAGCAGCCGCGGUAAUAUAU